AGCAGCCGCGGUAAUUCCAGCUCCAAUAGCGUAUAUUAAAGUUGUUGCAGUUAAAAAGCUCGUAGUUGAAUUUCGGGAUUGACACAUCGGUCGUGCCUUAAAGGGGUAUGAACUGGUGUAGUCAAUUUCUCACCUUCUGGAGAACCGCGAUGCCCUUAAUUGGGUGCCGCGGGGAACCAGGACCUUUACUUUGAAAAAUUAGAGUGUUUAAAGCAGGCAUUUUGCUUGAAUACAUUAGCAUGGAAUAAUAAAAUAGGACGGCAUGAUUCCAUUUUGUUGGUUUCUAGGAUCACCGUAAUGAUUAAUAGGGAUAGUUGGGGGCAUUAGUAUUCAAUUGUCAGAGGUGAAAUUCUUGGAUUUAUUGAAGACUAACUACUGCGAAAGCAUUUGCCAAGGAUGUUUUCAUUAAUCAAGAACGAAAGUUAGGGGAUCGAAGACGAUCAGAUACCGUCGUAGUCUUAACCAUAAACUAUGCCGACUAGGAAUCAGACGAUGUUAAUUUUUUAAUGACUCGUUUGGC
rnacentral:misc_RNA from 1 species